rnacentral:rRNA from 1 species
AACCUUUACACUGCACGACAGUGCGAUAAGGGAACUCCGAGUGCGAGGGCAUAGAGCCCUCGCUUUUGUACACCGUAAGGUGGUGCACGAAUAAGGGCUGGGCAAGACCGGUGCCAGCCGCCGCGGUAAUACCGGCAGCCCAAGUGAUGGCCGAUAUUAUUGGGCCUAAAGCGUCCGUAGCUGGCCGGACAAGUCCGUUGGGAAAUCCGCGUGCUCAACGCGCGGGCGUCCAGCGGAAACUGUCCGGCUUGGGGCCGGAAGACCUGAGGGGUACGUCCGGGGUAGGAGUGAAAUCCUGUAAUCUCGGACGGACCGCCUGUGGCGAAAGCGCCUCAGGAAGACGGACCCGACAGUGAGGGACGAAAGCCAGGGUCUCGAACCGGAUUAGAUACCCGGGUAGUCCUGGCUGUAAACGAUGUCCGCUAGGUGUGACGCAGGCUACGGGCCUGCGCUGUGCCGUAGGGAAGCCGUGAAGCGGACCGCCUGGGAAGUACGUCUGCAAGGAUGAAACUUAAAGGAAUUGGCGGGGGAGCAC